GAACAGAGGUCAGCUACAAACAGCCUCAGCUGGAGGAGCUGCUGGCAUUUCAGUGUGAGGAUCUGGGGAAGGAGUAAAACACCAGCAGCUUUCAACAUCCUCAAAGGCAUCUAAUUGUUGGGCCAUCCUGAGUAUCUGCACUUACAGAAAUCAAGGCUGGAGUGGAACUCCCCUGAAAGCCAGGCACUGGGAAGCCAAGAUUAGUUUUCAGAAAAAAGGUCCAGAGCUAUCGGAUCUCACCCCGGCACAAGCUGCAUGAAUACGUCCAGCGAUACUGUGAGCUGAUUAUUGUUCAUCCUUAACGGCUUUCCAUUCGGAACAACGCUAUUAGCAUGGUCAUUGUGCCCAGGGCUGCUGAUGGAACUCAACCAGCCCUUGAGGAACAAAGCAUCCCUUUUCCACGGCACCCUGUGACUGGCAGGGGUUGGAUUAGCAGCUUGUCAAUCCUGCAGCUCUUCCUCCGUGCACCCUUGAAUGCUUGGUUAGUACGUGGAAUUACAUUAUCUGAAAAAUUAAUACCAAACAUUAAGCGAAAGCUGUGUGCUAUUCCCUCCUGACCUGAUUAUUCUAGAUUAUUUAACUAAGUAGCCAGCAUACCCCCUAAUUUAAGUGCUGAAUUCCUACCACACAAAACGUUAUCUUUUCUCAUAAAAGGAGCCCACGAAAAGAGCAAGCUCAAUUGCCAAUUAUGCUUCUUCCAUGAAAUCUCUUCUAUCCCCUUCAGGAUAGGUUUGGGUAAAAAUAUAAUUGCAGUGGAUAAGGAAGCUUAAGAAAAGAUGUAAAUGAAAAAUGUUAUGUGUUGGCAUCUGAUUGAUCCAUUUGAAAGAAAGAGAAGGAGAAUUUGAUGAGCUGGUAAGGAGCUCACGGUUUGUUUCGAAGGAACCCAGCGUUUUUUAACCUGCACAGGGUGCUGAGCUAUAAUUAAGAACGGCAAGUCAGUGAAAAAUCUAUUUAAACUCCUGACAGCUUCUCUGCAUUAGCAUUUUUGACAUCUACAUUCACUCUGGCAAAUCACUAAUGUGAUUUUUUUUUUUCAAAAUUAUAUUUUUAUUAGCUUCCUGCAUCUAAUAACAAAGUGAAAAUGAUGUUGCAGCCUGGACAGGUCGUUAACUCAAAAGCACAGCACUUGCAUUGUGCUUAAUUAGCUGCCUGAUUAUUGUUUUAUUUUGAAAGAAGUUUUGUAAAUAUGUUUUCAUCUGUAAGUCAUCUUUAAAGAGAAAACAACUGUUUGAUACUGAUAGUUGGUGAAAAGCAUGGCAAACCCUGGAUUACAAACACUGUGAUUAAUUGAUGUCAAGAUACUAAUCUCUGGGGGUUUUACUAAUAAUUAUAAUAAUAAAUAAAAACUAUGAUUUAUAAAA